GUGGGCUGCCCAGAGUCAGGAGGAAUUUAUUGCGGAGAGUAAUGGAGUGGGGUCGUGGCUAUCGCCGUGGCUCACCACGUGGGAUCAGUUACGGGGAGUGGAGCGGCAUCUGCUGUCGUGACUCAUCUGGGGGUGGUGGAAUCGCACAGGAUCUGCCGCAGGGAGUGGAGCUGAAUCAUGGCCGUUACCGUGGCCUACCAGGGGGUCC
rnacentral:lncRNA from 1 species